rnacentral:rRNA from 1 species
AUUGAACGCUGGCGGCAUGCCUUACACAUGCAAGUCGAACGGCAGCAUGAUCUAGCUUGCUAGAUUGAUGGCGAGUGGCGAACGGGUGAGUAAUACAUCGGAACGUGCCCUGUAGUGGGGGAUAACCAGUCGAAAGAUUAGCUAAUACCGCAUACGACCUGAGGGUGAAAGUGGGGGACCGCAAGGCCUCAUGCUAUAGGAGCGGCCGAUGUCUGAUUAGCUAGUUGGUGAGGUAAAGGCUCACCAAGGCGACGAUCAGUAGCUGGUCUGAGAGGACGAUCAGCCACACUGGGACUGAGACACGGCCCAGACUCCUACGGGAGGCAGCAGUGGGGAAUUUUGGACAAUGGGCGAAAGCCUGAUCCAGCAAUGCCGCGUGUGUGAAGAAGGCCUUCGGGUUGUAAAGCACUUUUGUCCGGAAAGAAAUGGCUCUGGUUAAUACCUGGGGUCGAUGACGGUACCGGAAGAAUAAGGACCGGCUAACUACGUG